AAGAGAGAAACAAAAUGAGAGAGAGAGAGAGAGAGAGAGAUAUGAAAUUAAAAACCACCACCCACCACCAUCAUGCAUGACUCGUGCUCCUCUCCCAUCUUCAUCAUCAUCCAAAAUUUAAGGAUUUUUUUAUUUCACAAAUAAAUCCACCUAUACCCAUUCUCAACUGAUCUAUAUCCUUCAAAUUUCUUCAACUCCCUCUCAACUCUUAUUAGCUUUGUUGGUGUGAGUGCUUGAAGCUGCCAGCAUGAUCUGGUCAUCUAAAACUUAGAUCAAUUAGUUAUAUUUAUGUGAGAAACUUUGUUUUGGUUAUCUUUAUCAUUAGUACUACUACAUAGAGUUCUUGACGUCAUUUUGAUGAUUUCUAGCUUGUUUACAUAUUAUUUUAUUUGUUGAUAGGAUUUGAGGUCUAAUUGCAUAGAAUUUUGUAAGCCUGCAUUCAUUCUCAUCAGAUCAUCUUGCAGCUUCAAUCACUCACUUACCAACAAACCAUUGUUCUCCAUUACUAUCUUGAAUAUUGUAUUCAUCAACAAAAAAAGAGAUCUUUGUUUCAGGCCAGCUGCUUUCCUCCUUCAGCAUAAUUUCUCUAUUAUUUCAGGGAAAAUUUGUUCUUCGCUCUGCUAAGUCCAUGGAUAUUAUGAAAACAUAAGUGGGUAUCUAAGGUAAGUGCUCAAUUCCUCUCUGGAAAUGGUAAAUUUUCAGUAUAUAUCCUUAUUAAAGUUAACAGAUAUCCGCAUCUAUAAACCACUUUUAAUUUCCUUUAAAAAACUCAAUUCAUUAUAUUUCAUUUUUGAUGCAAUAGCAGUUACUUUCAUAAUACUUAAUUCUUUUAUUUUAUGUUUUUUGAGUAACAUUUAUUUUUAUUUUAUGCUAAAAGAUCAGUGCGGUGAAUGAUAUAUACAAACCACUGGUCUAUAACAAGUUGCAUUUAAUUAAAAAAAUAUAAAGGGAACAAAGACUUUAUUUCUUAAUAAAAUUACAUUUUGUGCAUCUCAUGCAUUAGCCUUUAAUAGUAGCUAUGGAAAGCCAAUACUAUAUAUCUUUCCAAAGUUUCAAUUUAACCCUCGGCUAGGCGUGGGUUUUGAUUUCUGGAUUUUGAAUAUUUUCCACAAAAUAAUAUACACUAUAUUUCAAGUUAAGGCAAGCAAAGCAACCCAGUAAAUGAAAAUUUAUUAUUCUGUAUUUUUUAUCAGACAUAGAACUAAACUUGGGCUUUAUAUUUACAAAAAAUUAAUUGAUCUUAACUAUGAUCGAUUAUACACUUUACUUAAUUAACCAUUUGGGAUUAUCAUCAAGAAAUUUUGACACAUUUAUACAUGUCUAAAUAAAUUAAUGCUAUCUCGAUUCUACUUAAUAUAUAUUGUCCAAGUUAUGCAAAUUCUUGCUGUCAAAACCAGCUCAUAGCAAUCUUUUUUCAGGUUUAUAAGGCCAUUAUUUUCUUCUUGAAAACUUUUAUAUAUUUUGUGAAAGCUUAGAAGGUUACACAUGAAUUUUUCUCGGAAAAAUAUUAAUUCUUUAUCAACCCGUGUCUUCAAUUUUGUGAAUGAUGAUGGAAAUACCAAGGUAUCAACCCAAGCUUUAAAGGCAAAAGCCCCUCAAUUUAAAGCUUUCAUAUGCUAGUAUUAUAAUAGUGGUAGUACAGACAAAAAAAGAGCUAAUUUGUAUUAUCCUGCUUAAUUUAUAGAAGCAAAUACCAUAUAUAUUAAUUCUGUCUCCCAACUUUUCACAUUCAAUAAUUGAUUACAAUCUCAUUUCAUGUUCAAAAUACAAGAUAGUCACCUUUAUCGAUCUGCAUGAGAAAGAUGAAGAAAUUAAUAAUAAUAAUAAUAUGAAGGCAAUCAUUUGAGCCACAUAAUAAUUUUAUCAUGAUUGAUUCAUAUCUUAUAUUAUGGACGAAAAUAUCAUAAUCACAUACGAAUAAGACGAUAGUUUUUUUUUUUCAUAUUCGCAUUAAACAUGAGUGAGGCCAUACACACAUAACAUAUCAUGCUCUUCUAUUUGUGUGUCUAGCUUAGGACAUACAUGGGCAUGUGGUAGGAGAAAAGCAAUAAUGUGGAUGAUACAAAAAUUAUACUUAACUCUCAUCACCAUGUGCAUUAAUCCUCACUUGCCUCCAAAAGCCAAUGCAAAAUAUACAAAGGCCUUAGAAUCUAGCUCCUAACAAAAGAUUUUUAUAAGAUCUUCAUGUUGGUAUCUUAAUUGUGAUAUUAUAUAUGUAUUGUUUUCCAUCAACAUGUCUUCUUGUAGCUCAUGACCUCUCACCUCACCCUCCAUGUGAUUUUGGUGCAAUCAAGAAAAUGACACUCUUAGUAUCAUUUGACUUUAGGUACUGUAAUAGUAUGGAAAUGUACAUUAUUGGAGGAAAGUUACUAUUUCAUUUUUUCCAAUCCGUUGACGCAUUGGAAAAUAAUUUUCUUUUCAUUUAUUGUACAUGUUGCCCACAUCAUGAUGUUUAAGGAUGUUUGGUUAUCAAUUAAAAUGAACCGCAUUUGAUUUCAUUGGUUAGAAUAGAUUGGAGCAAAGAUGUACAUUAGUCUUUUUCUAAAAAAAA